rnacentral:rRNA from 1 species
UUACAAUUUUCAGCGAUGGAUGUCUCGGUUCGAACAACGAUGAAGGGCGCAGCGAAGUGCGAUAAGCAUUGUGAAUUGCAGAAUUCCGUGAACCGAUAGAACCUUGAACGCAUAUUGUGCUUUUGGGAUAUGCCUGAAAGCGCGCCUGCUUCAGUGUCUGCUCUUUUCUUUCCAGCA